UAGCGUAGGUGGCGAGCGUUGUCCGGAAUUACUGGGUGUAAAGCGCGUGUAGGCGGGAGGCCAAGUCUGUGGUGAAAUCGCUCGGCUUGAACUGGGCGGGGUCCAUGGAAACUGGUCACCUGGAGGUCGGUAGAGGCAAGUGGAAUUCCCGGUGUAGUGGUGAAAUGCGUAGAGAGUGCGGAGGAACACCGAUGGCGAAGGCAGCCCCCUGGGCCUAGCA
rnacentral:rRNA from 1 species